GGAUGAGAUGGUGAAGGACAGGGAAGCCUGGCGUGCUGCAGUCCAUGGGGUCACAAAGAAUCGGAGGUGACUGAGCGACUGAACUGAAACUGAUGACGGCCAAAUGAUUUCUUGAAUUUUCUCCAGAAAAGAGUGGAAGACUGUCAAAAAAGAAAGUACAUGCAGUUCAGCUCAGUAAACACAUUCCAAGUACCUUCUGUGUUCAAGACAGAGAGCUACGGAUGUAGAGCCUUCAGUAAUGGUCCUGAAAUGGAACCAAAGUCACAGAAGAAUUUAUAAAAGGGGAAUGAAGAAGCCCUCCUAAGAGUCCUCCAACAACCUCUGUCUGUCCUGAACAUGUCAGUGCUCCACGGUACAGAGUCUGGUGUAAUGCUGACCUGUCCAAUGAGAGAACCCUUGGGAGGCCACAGGCUUCCCAGCUGGUGCUAGUGGUGGAGAACCCGCCUGCCAGUACAGCAGAUGCAAGAGACUCUGGUUUGAUCCCUGGGCAGAGAAGACCCCCUGGAGGAGGAAAUGGCAACCCACCCCAGUAUUUUGCCAGGAGAAUCCCAUGGACAGAGGAGCCUGGCAGGCUCUUGUCCAUAGAGUUGCAAAGAGUCGGACAUGACUGAAGCAACUUUAGCAUGCUCCCACGCAUCACCACCACCAAUCCACAAUCUCUUCACCAGUGAGGUCAAUUUAAAGGCUUUAUUAUCUGACAUGCAAGUAGAAAUUUGGGGGUAUUCUAGAUGAAAGAGUUGAGUUUGCACUUUCUGGACCAGUGAGAAGGAAGGUCCUGGGCUGCAUGAUGCAAUGCCGGAGAGAAGAUGCUUUGAGCUGCAGUCCUCUAUGACAUUCCUCUGGGUCCCUUUCCAGUCUUCCUAGGAUUGAGGUCAAAUCUUUUAUUUCUCUGCAUUCUUUUAUUAGGAGUCAUCACAGUUCUUUAGAGAAAGCUUUUGGGUGGGUGUUGAGUGCAGGGCCCUGUGCAGUUUGUAGACGGAGAGGAAUAUAUGGAAACAUAAGGCAGAGUCAGCUUGCUAUGAAGUCACCAAAGGCCUGCAGGCACUAUUUACUGGGACAAUGGGAAAGCCCUUGAACCAACUGCAGCACAAUCCGCACAAGGCCAGUGACUGUUCCUUGCCACAUAGUAUUGCAUGCUUUUAUUUGGGAUUAUCAGAGCACUAAAAGUUCCCAGAGGAACAGCAUUGUUCUUCCUGUUUACGGAAUGCCAUUUUUGACCAAUAGUUGGGUUUCACAAACAAGAAGUAGGUAAUUAAAACAGAAUGUAAUGCCUUUGAUUUACUCACAAGUUGAAACUGCAGCCAUCAGUAAGGUGAGGGAAGAGAGCUAAUUUCUUGCUUAGCACUCUAGGGGAGAAAAGGGUCAAUAGGGCAAAUAUAUGAAUACUGUUCCUCAGCUUAAGUGGGGAAUUCCAAGGCUAUUUAAUGCUAGAAAAUCUCGAAAUGCUACUUGAUUUUUGGAAACAUUUGCUAUAGGAGUCAAAGAUAGGAGAUUUAGAAACAGUGUGAUAACUUAUCAAAUGUGCCCGAGACAUUCUCCACAUGCUUCAUUUUGUUGCCAGAGAAGUUAUUAAAUAUCUAGACUUCUGAUUUGCAUUCUAGGACUAUAAAAGUAAGGACCUGGGGUCAUUUUUUCUUCACCAUAUGUUUAGCUUUGGAGACUCUGACUACAGAAAUAAUUAUUUAGAUACUUAAUAGUAAAGGGAUGAGAGAUAAAUCCUGUGUGUCUAAUCCACAUUUUUGGUUACUGGCAAGAAUUCAGUGAUUAAAGCUAAGAAGUCAAUACUGUGAUUAACUUUCUAUUUAAUGUGCCAGUCUUAAUAAUGUACUAUUUAAUAAAAUAUCUUUCUUUUUAGCAGUGCCUGCCUGCCUGCUCAGUCUCUGCAGUUGUGCCUGUUAAGGACAAUGUGUAUGUUUGGUUUGGGAUACCUGACCUACAGAAACAGUACUGUGUUGGUAAAUGUUUAACAACCAGUUUUCUCCUGUUUUCCAGUGAUUACUGAUUUCUGUGAUGCAAAUACUCC